rnacentral:rRNA from 1 species
GGACUACCAGGGUUUCUAAUCCUGUUUGCUACCCACGCUUUCGUGCCUCAGCGUCAGAAAUGGUCCAGCAUGCUGUCUACACCACAGGUGUUCCUCCUGAUAUCUACGCAUUUCACCGCUACACCAGGAAUUCCGCAUGCCUCUCCCAUCCUCAAGCCUUCCAGUUUUCGGCGCACCCUCCCAGUUGAGCCGGGAGAUUUCACACCAAACUUAAAAGACCGCCUACGCACUCUUUACGCCCAGUAACUCCGAACAACGCUUGCUGCCUACGUAUUACCGCGGCGGCUGGCAC